rnacentral:rRNA from 1 species
GACAGAGGGUGCAAACGUUGUUCGGAAUUACUGGGCGUAAAGCGCGUGUAGGCGGCUCGGCAAGUCGGGUGUGAAAGCCCUGGGCUUAACCUAGGAAGUGCACUCGAAACUGCCAAGCUUGAGUUCUGGAGAGGAAGGCGGAAUUCUCGGUGUAGAGGUGAAAUUCGUAGAUAUCGAGAGGAACACCGGUGGCGAAGGCGGCCUUCUGGACAGCAACUGACGCUGAGACGCGAAAGCGUUGGGGAGCAAACAGG